UACGUAGGGUGCGAGCGUUGUCCGGAAUUAUUGGGCGUAAAGAGCUUGUAGGCGGUUUGUCGCGUCUGCUGUGAAAAUCCGGGGCUCAACCCCGGACUUGCAGUGGGUACGGGCAGACUAGAGUGUGGUAGGGGAGACUGGAAGUUCCUGGUGUAGCGGUGAAAUGCGCAGAUAUCAGGAGGAACACCGGUGGCGAAGGCGGGUCUCUGGGCCGAUACUGACGCUGAGGAGCGAAAGCGUGGGGAGCGAACAGG
rnacentral:rRNA from 1 species